rnacentral:rRNA from 2 species
GAUAUGGGGCAGGCCUAAAAUGGCAAGUCGAGCGGAAUACGGGAGCUUGCUGCUUGAUUCAACGGCGGACGGGUGAGUAAUGCCUAGGAAUCUGCCUGGCUUGUCGGACAACGUUUUAAACUCUCGCUAUUACCGCAUACCUCCUACGGGACAAAGCAUGGGACCUUCGGGCGUUGCGCUAUCUAAUGAACCUAGGUCGGAUUACCUGAUUGGUGGGGUAAGGGCUCGCCAAGGCUACCAUCCGUAACUGUUCUGAGAGGAUGAGAGAUGAACUGGAACUGAGAGACGGUCCCAACUCCUACAGAAAUCAACAGUGGGGAAUAUUGGACAAUGGGCGAAAGCCUGAUCCAGCCAUGCCGCGUGUGUGAAGAAGGUCUUCGGAUUGUAAAGCACUUUAAGUUGGGAGGAAGGGCAGUAAAUUAAUACCUUGCUGUUUUGACGUUACCGACAGAAUAAGCACCGGCUAACUCUGUGCCAGCAGCCGCGGUAAUACAGAGGGUGCAAGCGUUAAUCGGAAUUACUGGGCGUAAAGCGCGCGUAGGUGGUUCGUUAAGUUGGAUGUGAAAGCCCCGGGCUCAACCUGGGAACUGCAUCCAAAACUGGCGAGCUAGAGUACGGUAGAGGGUGGUGGAAUUUCCUGUGUAGCGGUGAGGUGCAUAUGAUAUAGGAAGGAACACCAGUGGCGAAGCGACCACCUGGACUGAUACUGACACUGAGGUGCGUGGGGAGCAAACAGGAUUAGAUACCCUGGUAGUAUCACGCUGGUAAUCGAUGUCAACUAGCCGUUGGAAUCCUUGAGAUUUUAGUGGCGCACAUAACGCAUUAAGUUGACCGCCUGGGGAGUACGGCCGCAAGGUUAAAAAUCAAAUGAAUUGACGGGGGCCCGCACAAGCGGUGGAGCAUGUGGUUUAAUUUGAAGCAACGCGAAGAACCUUACCAGGCCUUGACAUGCAGAGAACUUUCCAGAGAUGGAUUGGUGCCUUUGGGACCUCUGACACAGGUGCUGCAUGGCUGUAGUCAGCUCGUCUCGUGAGAUGUUGGGUUAAGUCCCGUAAUCAGCGCAACCCUUGUCCUUAGUUACCAACACGUUAUCGUGGGCACUUUAAGGAGACUGCCGGUGACAAACCGGAGGAAGGUGGGGAUGACGUCAAGUCAUCAUGGCCUUUACGGCCUGGGGUACGCACGUGCUACAAUGGUCGGUACAGAGGGUUGGCAAGCCGCGAGGUGGAGCUAAUCUCACAAAACCGAUAGUAGUUCGGCUGGCAGUAUGCAACUCGAUUGCGUGAAGUCGGAAUCGCUAGUAAUCUCGAAUCAGAAUGUCGCGAAGAAUACGUUGCCGGCCUUCUACACACCGCCCGUCAGCCAUGGGAGUCGUGAACUCCAGAAGUAGGUUAGUGCAACCUCCCGCAGGACGUUAUUUAUACGAAUGCUCAAAUGUU